GUCGAGCGAAUCGAUGGGAGCUUGCUCCCUGAGAUUAGCGGCGGACGGGUGAGUAACACGUGGGCAACCUGCCUAUAAGACUGGGAUAACUUCGGGAAACCGGAGCUAAUACCGGAUACGUUCUUUUCUCGCAUGAGAGAAGAUGGAAAGACGGUUUACGCUGUCACUUAUAGAUGGGCCCGCGGCGCAUUAGCUAGUUGGUGAGGUAAUGGCUCACCAAGGCGACGAUGCGUAGCCGACCUGAGAGGGUGAUCGGCCACACUGGGACUGAGACACGGCCCAGACUCYUANGGGAGGCAGCAGUAGGGANUYUUCCGCAAUGGACGAAAGUCUGACGGAGCAACGCCGCGUGAACGAAGAAGGCCUUCGGGUCGUAAAGUUCUGUUGUUAGGGAAGAACAAGUACCAGAGUAACUGCUGGUACCUUGACGGUACCUAACCAGAAAGCCACGGCUAACUACGUGCCAGCAGCCGCGGUAAUACGUAGGUGGCAAGCGUUGUCCGGAAUUAUUGGGCGUAAAGCGCGCGCAGGUGGUUCCUUAAGUCUGAUGUGAAAGCCCACGGCUCAACCGUGGAGGGUCAUUGGAAACUGGGGAACUUGAGUGCAGAAGAGGAAAGUGGAAUUCCAAGUGUAGCGGUGAAAUGCGUAGAGAUUUGGAGGAACACCAGUGGCGAAGGCGACUUUCUGGUCUGUAACUGACACUGAGGCGCGAAAGCGUGGGGAGCAAACAGGAUUAGAUACCCUGGUAGUCCACGCCGUAAACGAUGAGUGCUAAGUGUUAGAGGGUUUCCGCCCUUUAGUGCUGCAGCUAACGCAUUAAGCACUCCGCCUGGGNGAGUACGGCCGNCAAGGCUGAAACUCAAAGGAAUUGACGGGGGCCCGCACAAGCGGUGGASCAUGUGGUUUAAUUCGAAGCAACGCGAAGAACCUUACCAGGUCUUGACAUCCUCUGACAACCCUAGAGAUAGGGCUUUCCCCUUCGGGGGACAGAGUGACARGUGRUGCAUGGUUGUCGUCAGCUCGUGUCGUNGAGAUGUUNGGGUUAAGUCCSGCAACGAGCGCAACCCUUGNAUCUUAGUUGCCAGCAUUCAGUUGGGCACUCUAAGGUGACUGCCGGUGACAAACCGGAGGAAGGUGGGGAUGACGUCAAAUCAUCAUGCCCCUUAUGACCUGGGCUACACACGUGCUACAAUGGAUGGUACAAAGGGCUGCAAACCUGCGAAGGUAAGCGAAUCCCAUAAAGCCAUUCUCAGUUCGGAUUGCAGGCUGCAACUCGCCUGCAUGAAGCCGGAAUCGCUAGUAAUCGCGGAUCAGCAUGCCGCGGUGAAUACGUUCCCGGGCCUUGUACACACCGCCCGUCACACCACGAGAGUUUGUAACACCCGAAGUCGGUGAGGUAACCUUCAUGAGCCAGCCGCC
rnacentral:rRNA from 2 species